rnacentral:lncRNA from 7 species
AAAAAAUUGAAGCAGAACAAACCAGGCUCCAGCUUUGCUUGUCGCUGAACUACCUCCAGGCACCACAGGACUAGGAAGUGCCUUUACACAAGGACUGAAUGUGGCCUGCAAGAUGGGAGAUGGACCCAUGUGUGAAUACUCCCAAACUUAAGUAGAGCCAACACUUUGCAUUCACGUCUUCCAGCACAUAGAAUAUAAAUCAAGGCUCCAUAUUUUCAAAAAUGAGGUGGAAUCUUCAGGCUUCUCCACUCUUAAAAGACUGGUGUCACAGAUUCCUGCCUCCUAAUAAGGAAAGGAAGUAGAAAAACACAUAAAUUCUCCCGAGGGAGUCUGACAGCCUGAAGCCAUGUUCGACAGCUGUUACUGUUACCAUGAGCACCAAGAGCAAAACAAGGAUUACAAGUUGGAGAAAAAGAAAAGAUGCAUUGCCAGGGAUUUUGGCAAGAUUUUCUUGGAUACGGAAUGUUUUUUGCACUGCCCCGGUCUAUAAAAGCACAGCACUCCUGUGGCACGUGUUGGAAUUUGGAGAUUAAACAAAUAUGAGC